ensembl:rRNA 5S_rRNA 5S ribosomal RNA
GUCUACGGCCAUACCACCCUGAACGCGCCCGAUCUCGUCUGAUCUCGGAAGCUAAGCAGGGUCGCGCCUGGUUAGUACUUGGAUGGGAGAUUUAUCCAUGUUGUUGUAUGCA